UACGUAGGGUGCAAGCGUUGUCCGGAAUUACUGGGCGUAAAGGGCUCGUAGGCGGCCAACUAAGUCAGACGUGAAAUCCCUCGGCUUAACCGGGGAACUGCAUCUGAUACUGGAUGGCUUGAGUUCGGGAGAGGGAUGCGGAAUUCCAGGUGUAGCGGUGAAAUGCGUAGAUAUCUGGAGGAACACCGGUGGCGAAGGCGGCAUCCUGGACCGACACUGACGCUGAGGAGCGAAAGCCAGGGGAGCAA
rnacentral:rRNA from 1 species